rnacentral:lncRNA from 1 species
CUGCAAUAGUUAAUGGUUUAAUGUGAUAAUGUGUUAUAAUGAUAAUCAAUGAUUAUUACUUUAUGGGUACCGUUACUGUUUACUGAAAUCAUGAAUGAAUGUUUUCUGAAGAUAAUCAAUCAUUACUAGGCACUGGAUUAUGUAACUUGAAAAGAAUCUAUCAGAUCAGAACCGGAUUGCAAACACUAUGUAAAACUGUGCAAUGAAUUUAUUAAGUAGGGGUGGGAUUAUAUAAACUCACCUCUUCCCACUCCUGUUCAAGCAAUAAAUCAAGCUCAGCAUGUCUUUAGUUAAUGAUCUCUAUAUUUAAUCUAGCAUAUGUCAUAUAAGUGUCUUUUUUUCUGUUUCUUUUAUCUAUGCAUUUCAUCCCUUCUCUAAUGCGUUUGAUAAAUCUGUGUACAUUCUUGAUUGCUUUGACAAUGCUUGAAAUCGAUCAAUCUAUUAAUCAAUCAAGAGAUCCAACAAGACAAGCAGGAUUAGCGAACCUGACAAUCUGGGUAAUGAACAGAUGAAAGUUACAGAACACCCCAUUUACAGACAGCAAACGUAUACGUAAGUGUGUGUGUGUUUCAGGGGGGGGUUUGGCUGACAGCACUGCCACAACAUUCAUAACAGCCUGGGAAAAUGUAAUGAGAUGGAGCACCGUGAAGACUGGAGACAUGGAGGACCUUAGAAUGACAGAGCAGGCAGAACAUGUCCCCAGAAUCCUCCUCCUAUCCUGUCUGUCUAGUCUUUUCCUCCUCCAGCUUCUUCUCGUUUUCUCCUCUCACCUUCUGUCUGUGCUGCAUCCUAGGACAUCUCUAAAUGGAAACUUGACCCCCCCUCACUGUGGGGGUCUUAUCUGACUAAUUUCCUUAAGUCAGGGGGGUCUACAAGGGUCCUCAUACAGCUCCUGGCAUUAGCAGCAGCAGCCCUUCAAGCCCAGCCUGAUCUAUGACACAGGAUAAAAUACUCAAAUGUAUCGCUUGUUCUCUCACUUUUCUUUCUGUGCGUCUUGUCAGAUUUUUUC